GUUUACAGUUAAACAAACAUGAAAGUAUUUCAAGUAGCAUUUAUCGUGGCUUGCAUUAUUGCUGCCGUUUCCUCUAGCCCAGGACAUAACGAUAUAAAUGGAAAUGACAACCAAGGAAAUAAGCAGAGCAAUUUUGACCUUAAAGGAAGUUUAUUCAAAUAAACGUUAGAUGAUGCUAAGUAACAUUUUAUAAGAUUUCCAUUUUGUUAAUCUUAUAAUCUGUUUUAAUCUAGCAGUUUUUUUUACAAAAAAAAAAAAAAAAUGUACCAAAUAUUCGAAAAAUGGGGUUUAUUCCUCUAACUGGAUUAUACUCAAAGAUAAUAUGAAAUAAAGUGCAAAGAUAUUCAAUUAACAAA